rnacentral:rRNA from 1 species
GACGAACGCUGGCGGCGUGCUUAACACAUGCAAGUCGAACGGAAAGGCCCUGCUUUUGUGGGGUGCUCGAGUGGCGAACGGGUGAGUAACACGUGAGUAACCUGCCCUUGACUUUGGGAUAACUUCAGGAAACUGGGGCUCAUACCGGAUAGGAGCUCCUGCUGCAUGGUGGGGGUUGGAAAGUUUCGGCGGUUGGGGAUGGACUCGCGGCUUAUCAGCUUGUUGGUGGGGUAGUGGCUUACCAAGGCUUUGACGGGUAGCCGGCCUGAGAGGGUGACCGGCCACAUUGGGACUGAGAUACGGCCCAGACUCCUACGGGAGGCAGCAGUGGGGAAUAUUGCACAAUGGGCGGAAGCCUGAUGCAGAAACGCCGCGUGCGGGAUGACGGCCUUCGGGUUGUAAACCGCUUUCGCCUGUGACGAAGCGUGAGUGACGGUAAUGGGUAAAGAAGCACCGGCUAACUACGUG